UUCCAGUGGACGUUCAAAAACUCGGUUACAAAAGGAAUCUUCUCUCUCUCUCUCUCUCUUUCUAUCUCUCUAACCACCCUCCUUGAUCGGCAUCUCCUCCGCCGUCUCCCCAUUUUCCACGGUGUCUGAGAGCGGAGAAAUCGUAUUGUAAACACUACAGCAGACCAAAAUUUGAGAUUAAGCAUAAUAGCGCCUCUAUGGAAGUUGCACCUCAGAGUUCGGAAGCCCCAGUAACCAAGGCGGCUGAGGAUUCUGGAAAUGAUGCCAAUGGUGAUAAGGUUGUGAAUGGAGAUGCAAUUCAAGUAGCAAAAGAAAGUAAGAACGAAGAAGAGGAGAAUUCUUUGGGUGGGGAGUUUAUAAAAGUAGAAAAGGAGCCUCUGGAGGCGGAGGAUACUCCUCCAGCCCAAACAGCAUUCGUAGAGGAGGAUAAACCAACUAUUUCUGAAAGAAGUGCAAGCAAUCCGAGCAGAGAAUUAUUGGAGGCCCAAGAGAAGUCGAGAGAUUUUGAGCUUGAAAUUGAGAGAUUAGCUGGAAAUUUGAAGCAUCUAGAGUCGGAGAAUUCAAAGUUGCAGGAUGAGGUAUUACUCACAAGUCAGAAGCUCGAGAAAAGUGAAGAGAAGUAUGCAGUGCUUGAACUCGAUCUUAAGAAAUCGAAGGAGCAGAUCGUUGAAUCUGAAGAGAAAUAUAGUUCGCAGCUCAAUAGUUUGCAAGAGGCAUUGCAAACUCAAGAAGCGAAGAACAAGGAGUUGGUUGCGGUGAAAGAAGCAUUUGAUAGUUUGAGCAGUGAUUUUGAGAAUUCCCGGAAGCAGAUUCAAGAGUUGGAACAAAAAUUGAAGAUAUCUGGAGAUGAAGCAUUGAAAUUUGAAGAGCUUCACAAACAAAGUGGCUUAAAUGCUGAAUCUGAGGCAAAAAGAGCAUUAGAGUUUGAGAGGCUUCUUGAAGCAGAAAAACUGAGUGCCAAACAAAGAGAAGAUCAAAUCUCUUCUCUGCAAGAAAAUAUCAAGGAGUUAAAUGACAAGAUUGCUGAAAGCCAAAAGGUAGAAGAAGCACUUCGAACUACAGCAACUGAGCUUUCUGUUGUCCAGGGAGAUCUGGCGCUUUUUAAAUCUCAAGUGCUAGACUUGGAGAAGAAACUUUCCACGAAAGAAGGUUUAAUUGAAGAACUAGCUAAGGAACUGGACAUCCGAAAGACUUCAGAAUCUAAGAUCAAGGAAGAUAUUUCAGCCGUUGAAAACCAAUUUGCUUCAACUAAAGAGGAUCUUCGUGUAAAGAUGUCUGAACUGGAAGAAAUCAGGUUGAAGCUUCAGGAAGAAGUGAACCAAAAAGAAUCUGCUGAAUCUGCUUUAAAAACUAAGGAAGCACAAGUCUCCGAUAUUCAAAAGGAACUUGCUGCAGCUAUCAAAGAUAAAGAAGAGCUUGAAGCGACUCUAGCAGAUUUCUCUAGCAAUGCCAAACAAAUGAAAGAUUUAUGCAACAAUCUUGAGGAAAAGCUGAAGCAUUCAGAUGAGAAUUUGGGAAAAGCUGAUUCUCUUUUGUCUCAAGCUCUGUCCAACAACAAGGAGUUGGAACAGAAGUUGAAGGAUUUGGAGGAUCUUCAUAAUGAAACUGGAGUUGUCGCUCAAACUGCCACUCAGAAGAAUCUUGAACUUGAAGAAAUUGUCCGAGCUUCAACUGCAUCAGCGGAAGAUGCAAAAUCACAAUUAAGAGAACUUGAGACUCGAUUUGUAGCAGCAGAACAAAAGAAUGUGGAGCUUGAACAACAGCUAAAUUUGUUAGGAUUGAAAAACAAUGAUGCCGAGAGGGAAGUUACUGAAUUAUCUGAUAAAAUAAAAGAACUCGAUACUAAAUUGAUCGAUGUUCAGGAGGAAAAGAAGCAGCUGAAUGACAAAAAGCAGGAAUAUCAGGAUAAGAUACUGCAACUAGAAUCCGCAAUACAGGAGUUAACGUCGCAGCAUCAAGAUCUUGAGAAGGAGCUGAAGGCCACAAUUGGGAAAUGUGCUGAACAUGAGGAGCGAGCUAACAUAAAUCAUCAACGUAGCCUUGAACUUGAAGAACUGACCCAGAGAUCUAAUAACAAAAUUGAAGUUGCUGAUAAAAGGGUGAAUGAGUUGGAGUUGUUGCUUGAAGCAGAAAAAUACAGAAUUCAAGAGCUUGAAGGGCAAUUGAGUACUUUAGAAAAGAAAUGUGGGGAUGCUGAAGCAGAAACCAAGAAAAACUUUGACCAUGUAUCUGUCUUGGCGUCUGAAAUAAAGUCAUAUGAAGAAAAAGUAGCAAGCCUGGAAACUGCAUUGAAUGUUGCCAAUGUAAAGGAAAAGGAAUUAACUGAAGAAAAGAAAAAAUUGGAAGAUGCAUUGAAUUUGUCCAGCAGUCAGCUAGCUGAAUCAGAAAAUUUGGUGGAAGUCGUAAGGAACGAUCUGAGCAUUACUCAAAAGAAACUUGAAACUAUUGAGAGUGAUCUCCAGGCAACUGGUAUCAGAGAGGCUGAGGUGCUCAAAAAGCUGAAAUCUGCGGAAGAAAAACUAGAACACCAAGUAAGAACAAUAGAGCAAACUACUACGAGAAACUUAGAACUUCAGUCGUUACACGAGUCAUUAGCUAAAGAUUCUGAAACUAGGAUGCUGGAAGCAGUAGCAAAGUUCACCAACAAAGAAUCUGAGGCUAACUCUCUAGUGGAGAAAAUUAAAGUUCUUGAAGAACAAAUAAAAGCUUAUGAGGAUCAGAUAUCUGAAACCAAUGGAAGAUCUGCGGCUUUAAAGGAAGAAUUGGAUCAGACUUUGACAAAAUUGACUUCUUUGGAGAGUACAAAUGGUGAACUCAAAAAGCAUAGUUCGGAAGUUGAAAAUAAACUUUCUCAGAUUUCUUCAGAGAAUGAAUUAUUAUCAGACACAAACAUUCAACUCGAAACCAAGGUUAAUGAACUGCAGGAGUUAUUGAGCACUGCACUUUCUGAAAAGGAAACAGCUGAUCAACAGCUUGCUUCUCAUAAGAGCUCUAUUUCAGAACUAACAGAAAAGCACUCGAGAGCCAUCGAGUUCCAGUCUGUAACUGAAGCUCGUCAAGUGGAGACAGACCAGAAACUGCAGGAGGCCAUUCAAAAAUUCGAACAGAGAGAUUCGGAGGCAAAGGACUUGAGUGCGAAACUAAAGACAGCAGAGGACCAAAUAAAAGUGAUUGAAACAAAGGUUCUGGAAGCUUCAGAAAAUGUUGAAGCUCAUAAGAGUCAGCUCGAAGAGACACUUUUGAAAGUAAAGCAACUAGAAAGCACUGUAGAAGAAUUGCAAACCAAGAAAGUUGAUGCCGAAAAGGAGAUUGCAGGGCUAAAUGAGGCGAAGUUGAAGCUUACUCAAGAACUAGCUUUAUUUGAAUCUAAUUUGAGUGAUCUCCAGGCCAAGUUAUCAGCUGCAAACGUUGAAAAGGAUGAAACUGCUGAACGGCUUCAGACAGCAGAGGGCCAGAUUACAAUGGUUGAAGAAAAGGCUCUGGAAGCUUCUACAACUGCCGAAGCUUAUAAGAGUCAGCUCGAAGAGGCUCUUUCGAAAGUAAAGCAUCUAGAAACUAGCAUGCUGGAAGGAGUAGCAAAGUUCACCAACAAAGAAUCUGAGGCCAACUCUCUAAUAGAGAAAAUUAAAGUUCUUGAAGAACAAAUAAAAGCUUAUGAGGAUCAGAUAUCUGAAACCAAUGGAAGAUCUGCAACUUUAAAGGAAGAAUUGGACCAGACUUUGACAAAACUGACUUCUUUGGAGAGUACAAAUGGUGAACUCAAGAAGUAUAGUUCGGAAAUUGAAAAUAAAGUUUCUCAGAUUUCAUCAGAGAAAGAAUUAUUAGUGGAUACAAACAUUCAACUUAAAACCAAAGUUGAUGAACUUCAGGAGUUAUGGAGCACUGCUCUUUCUGAAAAGGAAACUGCUGAUCAACAGCUUGCUUCUCAUAAGAGCUCUAUUUCUGAAUUAACAGAAAAGCACUCGAGAGCCAUUGAGUUCCAGUCUGUAACUGAAGCUCGUCAAGUGGAGACAGAUCAGAAAUUGCAGGAGACCAUUCAAAAAUUAGAACAGAGAGAUUCGGAGGCUAAGGACUUGAGAGAGAAACUAAAGGCAGCAGAGGACCAGACAAAAUUGUUUGAAACGAAGGUUCUUGAAGCUUCAGCAGAUGUUGAAGCUCAUAAGAGUCAGCUCGAAGAGACUCUUUCGAAAGUAAAGCAACUAGAAAGCACUGUAGAAGAAUUGCAAACCAAGAAAGUUGAUGCUGAACAGGAGAUUGCAGGGCUAAAUGAGGCGAAGUUGAAGCUUACUCAAGAACUGGCCUUAUUCGAAUCUAAUCUGAGUGAACUCCAGGCCAAGUUAUCAGCUGCAAACGUUGAAAAGGAUGAAACUGCUGAACGGCUUCAGACAGCAGAGGGUCAGAUUAAAUUGGUUGAAGCAAAGGCUCUGGAAGCUUCUACAACUGCUGAAGCUUAUAAGAGUCAGCUCGAAGAGGCUCUUUCAAAAGUAAAGCAUCUAGAAACUAGCAUGCUGGAAGCAGUAGCAAAGUUCGCCAACAAAGAAUCUGAGGCUAACUCUCUAAUGGAGAAAAUUAAAGUUCUUGAAGAACAAAUUAAAGUUUGUGAGGAUCAGAUAUCUGAAACCAAUGGAAGAUCUGCAGCUUUAAAGGAAGAAUUGGAUCAGACUUUGACAACAUUGGCUUCUUUGGAGAGUACGAAUGGUGAACUCAAAAAGUAUAGUCUGGAAAUUGAAAACAAAGUUUCUCAGAUUUCUUCAGAAAAUGAAUUAUUAGUAGACACAAACAUUCAACUCAAAGCUAAGGUUAAUGAACUUCAGGGGUUAUUGAGCACUGCUCUUUCUGAAAAGGAAACUGUUGAUCAACAGGUUGCUUCUCAUAAGAGCUCUAUUUCUGAACUAACAGAAAAGCACUCUAGAGCCAUCGAGUUCCAAUCUGUAGCUGAAUCUCGUCAAGUGGAGACAGAUCAGAAAUUGCAGGAGGCCAUUCAAAAGUUAGAACAGAGAGAUUCGGAGGCAAAGGACUUGAGUGCGAAACUAAAGACAGCAGAGGACCAUAUAAAAGUGUUUGAAACCAAGGUUCUGGAAGCUUCAGAAAAUGUUGCAGCUCACAAGAGUCAGCUCGAAGAGACUCUUUUGAAAGUAAAGCAACUAGAAUGCAUGGUAGAAGAGUUGCAAACCAAGAAAGUUGAUGCCGAACAGAAGAAUGCAGGGCUAAAUGAGGCAAAGUUGAAACUUACUCAAGAACUAGCCCUAAGUGAAUCUAAUUUGAGUGAUCUCCAGGCCAAGUUAUCAGCUGUCAAUAUUGAAAAGGAAGAAACUGCUGAACGGCUUCAGACAGCAGAGGAUCAGAUUAAGUUGGUUGAAGCAAAGGCUCAGGAAGCUUCUACAAAUGCUGAAGCUCAUAAGAGUAAGCUCGAAGAGACUCUUUUGAAAGUAAAGCAUCUAGAAAGCAUAGUAGAGGAGCUGGAAACCAAGGCAAUUAAUGCUGAAAAGGAGUGUGCAGGAUUAAGUGAGGCAAAUUUGAGACUUACUCAGGAAUUAGCCUCAUAUGAAUCUAACUUCAGUGAUCUCCAGAACAAGCUAUCUGCUGCAAACGUUGAAAGGAAUGAAACUACUGAACGGCUCCAGACAGCUGAGGGCCAGAUUAAAUUGUUUGAAGCAAAGGUCCAGGAAGCCUCCACAGAUGCUGAAGCUCAUAAGGGUAAACUCGAAGAUACUCUUUUGAAAGUAAAGCAUCUAGAAAGCGUAGUAGAGGAGCUGCAAACCAAGGCAGUUAAUGCUGAAAAGGAGAAUGCAGGAUUAAGUGAGGCAAAUUUGCGACUUACUCAGGAAUUAGCCUCAUAUAAAUCAAAGUUCAGUGAUCUCCAGACCAAGCUAUCAGAUGCAAACGUUGAGAGGGAUGAAACUGCUGAACGGCUCCGGACAGCUGAGGGCCAGAUUAAAUUGCUCGAAGCCAAGGCUCAGGAAGCCUCCACAGAUGCUGAAGCUCAUAAGGGUAAACUCGAAGAGGCUCUUUUGAAAGUAAAGCAUCUAGAAAGCAUAGUAGAGGAGCUGCAAACCAAGGCAGUUGAUGCUGAAAAGGAGAGUGCAGGAUUAAGUGAGGCAAAUUUGAGACUUACUCAGGAAUUAGCCUCAUAUGAAUCUAACUUCAGUGAUUUCCAGACCAAGCUAUCUGCUUCAAACGUUGAAAGGGAUGAAACUGCUGAACGGCUCCGGACAGCUGAGGGCCAGAUUAAAUUGCUCGAAGCAAAGGUUCAGGAAGCCUCCACAGAUGCUGAAGCUCAUAAGAGUAAACUCGAAGAGACUCUUUUGAAAGUAAAGCAUCUAGAAAGCAUAGUAGAGGAGCUGCAAACCAAGGCAAUUAACGCUGAAAAGGAGAGUGCAGGGUUAAGUGAGGCAAAUUUGAGACUUACUGAGGAAUUAGCCUCAUAUAAAUCUAACAUCAGUGAUCUCCAGACCAAGCUAUCUGCUGCAAACGUUGAAAGGGAUGAAACUGCUGAACGGCUCCGGGCAGCUGAGGGCCAGAUUAAAUUGUUUGAAGCGAAAGCUCAGGAAGCCUCCACAGAUGCUGAAGCUCUUAAAAGUCAGCUCGAAGAGACUCUUUUGAAAGUAAAGCAUCUAGAAAGCAUUGUAGAGGAGCUGCAAACCAAGGCAAUUCAUGCUGAAAAGGAGAAUAAAGGGUUGAAUGAAGCAAAUUUGAGACUGUCUCAGGACUUAACCUCGUAUGAAUCUAAUUUGAGCGAUCACCAGACCAAAUUAUCUGCUGCAAAUGCUGAAAGGGAUGACACUGAUGAACGACUUCAGAUUGCAGAGAAGACUGUAAAUGAGUUGAAAUCACAGCUAGCUUUCGAAGAACAGAGACUACAGUCUCAGAUCGCUUCAAUGAUGGAAGACAAGAACGUCCUCAAUGAGACAUACCAGAAGACCAAAAACGAGUUACAAUCGGAGAUAGCACAGCUGGAAGGAAAAUUGAAAGAACAGAGCAAAGUUGAAGAAUCAUUAAAAUCUGAACUUGAACGUCUCAAGGCAGAGAUUACAGAGAAUAAUGAUUUUAAAAUACGCCAUAAAGAAGAGCUAAGUAAAUCUGAAGCUCUCCGGAAAGAAGAGCUCGAAAGCGUCCGAACAACAGCUGCUGGAAAAGAGACAGAAUUGAAAUCCAAAUUGGAAGAUUAUGGACUAAAAAUCAAAGAUAGAGACCAAUUAAAUGAACAAGUACAACAACUUCAGAAAGAAUUGCAGGUGGCAAAGUCGGAGAUUGCUGAACAGGACGCUCUCUUCAACAGAAAGAGAAAGGCGCUCAAAAAGAGCUCGAACGAGAAGGUUCACUUCAGCGGUCUCUUCAAGGUCUGGAAGCGAAAGGCAAAGAAAUUCUUGCUCUAGAAUCACAAGUCAAGGACCUCCACCACAAAUUGCUCCUGGCUGAGGCUAAGUCUAUACAAAAGGGUGAGGCUGAUACGGAGGGAGUAGAAGUAAAAUCCAGAGAUAUUGGAUUAAACUUUUCAACUCCAACAAAAAGGAAACACAAGAAGAACAAAGAAGCAACAGCUGCAGCAGCAUCCACGCCACCUUCAUCUUCUACUUCCCAAACACAGAUUCAAACUACUGAGGUUUCUUCAAUAUCCUCUUUGAAGCUUAUUUUCGUAGUAGCAAUUAUAUCUAUUAUACUUGGAAUAUAUCUGGGGAAGAGGUAUUAAAUUUUCUUUUUUUCUUCCCUUAAUUAGAAAAGACGUCCUUAUUUGGAAGCCCCAUCUUUGUAAUAUCUUUCGAGUUUAUGUUUUUAAAUUUGGUUAGGGAAUUAGUUUCUUUUUUUUUUUUUUUUUUUUCUUCCCCUCUCCCCAGCCAGCAUGUAAAAGUAAAUUCUAUUGAUGAUCAUAUGUCUAGUCUACUUCCUGUGUAGAAGUCAUUAAAAUUUA